rnacentral:rRNA from 1 species
UACAGAGGUCUCAAGCGUUGUUCGGAUUCAUUGGGCGUAAAGGGUGCGUAGGCGGCGCGGUAAGUCGGGUGUGAAAUCUCGGGGCUUAACUCCGAAACUGCAUUCGAUACUGCCGUGCUUGAGGACUGGAGAGGAGACUGGAAUUUACGGUGUAGCGGUGAAAUGCGCAGAUAUCGGGAGGAACACCAAUGGCGAAGGCAGCUUGCUGGGACGGUACUGACGCUGAGGCGCGAAAGCGUGGGGAGCAAACAGG